GUUAUAUGGUCAAGCGAAUAAGCGCACACGGUGGAUGCCUUGGCGGUCAGAGGCGAUGAAGGACGUGGCAGCCUGCGAAAAGUAUCGGGGAGCUGGCAACAAGCUUUGAUCCGGUAAUGUCCGAAUGGGGAAACCCACCCGCUUGCGGGUAUCCUGCAGUGAAUACAUAGCUGCUGGAAGCGAACCUGGUGAACUGAAAUAUCUAAGUAACCAGAGGAAAAAGAAAUCACCGAGAUUCCGUAAGUAGCGACGAGCGAACGCGGACUAGCCCUUAAGCUGAUUUGGUUCUAGGAAAACGCUCUGGAAAGAGCGGCCAUAGAAGGUGAUAGCCCUGUAUCUGAAAGGGCCAUUUCAGUGAAGACGAGUAGGGCGGGGCACGUGAAACCCUGUCUGAACAUGGGGGGACCAUCCUCCAAGGCUAAAUACUACUGACCGACCGAUAGUGAACCAGUACCGUGAGGGAAGGCGAAAAGAACCCGGAGAGGGGAGUGAAAUAGAACCUGAAACCGUGUGCGUACAAGCAGUAGGAGCUCCGCAAGGAGUGACUGCGUACCUUUUGUAUAAUGGGUCAGCGACUUACUGUUCGUGCGCUUAACCGUAUAGGGGAGGCGAAGGGAAACCGAGUCUGAUAAGGGCGCAUAGUCGCGGGCAGUAGACCCGAAACCGGGUGACUAGUCAUGCCCAGGGUGAAGGUGCGGUAACACGCACUGGAGGCCCGAACCCACUCCCGUUGCAAAGGUAGGGGAUGAGGUGUGAUUAGGAGUGAAAAGCUAAUCGAACCCGGAGAUAGCUGGUUCUCCUCGAAAGCUAUUUAGGUAGCGCCUCAUAUGUAUCCUCUCGGGGGUAGAGCACUGUUAUGGCUAGGGGGUCAUCGCGACUUACCAAACCAUUGCAAACUCCGAAUACCGAGACGGACUGUAUGGGAGACACACGGCGGGUGCUAACGUCCGUCGUGAAAAGGGAAACAACCCAGACCCACAGCUAAGGUCCCAAAUUUUGUGCUAAGUGGAAAACCAUGUGGAAAGGCACAGACAGCCAGGAGGUUGGCUUAGAAGCAGCCACCCUUUAAAGAAAGCGUAAUAGCUCACUGGUCGAGUCGGUCUGCGGGGAAGAUUUAACGGGGCUAAGCACAGAACCGAAGCUUGGGGUGCAUAACUUUGUUAUGCGCGGUAGAGGAGCGUUCCGUAAGCCGUUGAAGGUGGAUUGAGAAGUCUGCUGGAGGUAUCGGAAGUGCGAAUGCUGACAUGAGUAACGAUAAUGCGGGUGAAAAACCCGCACGCCGAAAGCCCAAGGUUUCCUUGCGCAACGUUAAUCGGCGCAGGGUGAGUCGGCCCCUAAGGCGAGGACGAAAGUCGUAGUCGAUGGGAAGCAGGUUAAUAUUCCUGCACCUCGCGUAAGUGCGAUGGAGGGACGGAGAAGGUUAGGUGUACCAGGCGUUGGUUGUCCUGGGGAAAGGCGGUAGGUUUGGAUCUUUGGCAAAUCCGGGAUCCUUUAAGACCGAGCACCGAGACGAGCCUUUAAGGCGAAGUCACUGAUACCACGCUUCCAGGAAAAGCUCCUAAGCUUCAGCUUACGCAGACCGUACCGUAAACCGACACAGGUGGGUAGGAUGAGAAUUCUCAGGCGCUUGAGAGAACGGGUGAAGGAACUAGGCAACAUGGCACCGUAACUUCGGGAGAAGGUGCACCCUUUUUGGUGGCUCGUGCGAGCUAUAGCUGAAGAGGGUCGCAGUAACCAGGCCGCUGCGACUGUUUAUCAAAAACACAGCACUCUGCAAACACGAAAGUGGACGUAUAGGGUGUGACGCCUGCCCGGUGCUGGAAGGUUAAUUGAUGGGGUCAGCCGCAAGGCGAAGCUCUUGAUCGAAGCCCCAGUAAACGGCGGCCGUAACUAUAACGGUCCUAAGGUAGCGAAAUUCCUUGUCGGGUAAGUUCCGACCUGCACGAAUGGCGUAACGACAGCGGCGCUGUCUCCACCCGAGACUCAGUGAAAUUGAAAUCGCUGUGAAGAUGCAGCGUUCCCGUGGCAAGACGGAAGACCCCGUGAACCUUUACUAUAGCUUUACACUGAACGUUGAGUUCGUCUGUGUAGGAUAGGUGGGAGGCUAUGAACCAUGGCGCUAGCUGUGGCGGAGCCAUCCUUGAAAUACCACCCUGUCGUGCUUGACGUUCUAACCUAGGCCCAUUAUCUGGGGGGACCGUGUAUGGUGGGUAGUUUGACUGGGGCGGUCUCCUCCUAAAGAGUAACGGAGGAGCUCGAAGGUACGCUCAGCGCGGUCGGACAUCGCGCACUGUGUGCAAAGGCAUAAGCGUGCUUGACUGCAAGAUCGACGGAUCAAGCAGGUAGGAAACUAGGACUUAGUGAUCCGGUGGUUCUGUAUGGAAGGGCCAUCGCUCAACGGAUAAAAGGUACUCCGGGGAUAACAGGCUGAUACCGCCCAAGAGUUCAUAUCGACGGCGGUGUUUGGCACCUCGAUGUCGGCUCAUCACAUCCUGGGGCUGUAGUCGGUCCCAAGGGUAUGGCUGUUCGCCAUUUAAAGUGGUACGCGAGCUGGGUUCAGAACGUCGUGAGACAGUUCGGUCCCUAUCUGCCAUGGGCGUUGGAGAUUUGAGAGGGGCUGCUCCUAGUACGAGAGGACCGGAGUGGACGAACCUCUGGUGUUCCGGUUGUCACGCCAGUGGCAUUGCCGGGUAGCUAUGUUCGGAAGCGAUAACCGCUGAAAGCAUCUAAGCGGGAAGCGCGCCUCAAGAUGAGAUCUCCCGGGGCACAAGCCCCCUGAAGGAACCAUGUAGACUACGUGGUUGAUAGGUCAGGUGUGUAAGUACAGCAAUGUAUUGAGCUAACUGAUACUAAUGAUCCGUGCGGCUUGACCAUAUAACCU
rnacentral:rRNA from 1 species